AAUCCAUGUAAAUGGAAGUAAUCCGUGGAGACGUUUCUCUUUCUUCAGCAUCGAAUUUUAGUUUAUGUAAAAUAAAAUCUUUAUUUAAUUUUGUUAAUCAUAAAGUCAACUAUACGAUGGAAUAUGAUUAUAUGUAUUAAGUAUAUGAGGGCUGGUAAAGUACUGAACCAUUACUAUCACCAGACUACACUACUAUCAGGAAAGACGCCAAUUUAAUUUCAAUAAAACAUACAUAUAGAUCGAUAUUUCUGGUAUAAAGGCAGCCAUCGACAUUGUUUACAUGCUGCUCUAUGCUUUUUCUUGACAUAUGUAUAUAAAGAAUUACCUCACAAGAUGGCGGCAUAGUGUAAUUGUUUUUGUAACAUUUGUCACAGACAAACCGAAAAUAGUAAAGGUAAAUUCUAGCCGUAACCUUAUAUACUAUCAUUCUUGGUAUUAUGGUUUUGAACUCUGUGCCAUUGCGGUUGACUAGAAUAUCAAAGACGCACAACUGCUACCAAGCGUUUGUGAAAGAACAUUGUGUUUAUUUAGAAAAAAUAUUGACAUAAAGUAGAAAAUGGAUAAAUAAACUAUUUCAUAUAUAA